GACGAACGCUGGCGGCGUGCUUAACACAUGCAAGUCGAACGGAAAGGCCCUGCUUUUGUGGGGUGCUCGAGUGGCGAACGGGUGAGUAACACGUGAGUAACCUGCCCUUGACUUUGGGAUAACUUCAGGAAACUGGGGCUAAUACCGGAUAGGAGCUCCUGCUGCAUGGUGGGGGUUGGAAAGUUUCGGCGGUUGGGGAUGGACUCGCGGCUUAUCAGCUUGUUGGUGGGGUAGUGGCUUACCAAGGCUUUGACGGGUAGCUGGCCUGAGAGGGUGACCGGCCACAUUGGGACUGAGAUACGGCCCAGACUCCUACGGGAGGCAGCAGUGGGGAAUAUUGCACAAUGGGCGGAAGCCUGAUGCAGCAACGCCGCGUGCGGGAUGACGGCCUUCGGGUUGUAAACCGCUUUCGCCUGCGACGAAGCGUGAGUGACGGUAAUGGGUAAAGAAGCACCGGCUAACUACGUG
rnacentral:rRNA from 1 species